rnacentral:rRNA from 1 species
UACGAAGGGGACUAGCGUUGUUCGGAAUCACUGGGCGUAAAGCGCACGUAGGCGGAUGUGUCAGUCAGGGGUGAAAUCCCGGGGCUCAACCUCGGAACUGCCUUUGAUACAGCACGUCUCGAGUCCGGGAGAGGUGAGUGGAACUGCGAGUGUAGAGGUGAAAUUCGUAGAUAUUCGCAAGAACACCAGUGGCGAAGGCGGCUCACUGGCCCGGUACUGACGCUGAGGUGCGAAAGCGUGGGGAGCAAACAGG